GAUGGAUCAGUGUGUGACGCCCUGUGACUCUCACUGAUGCUGCCCUCACAUCUGUUUUCCUGUUGGAUGGAAACGGGCCACCGUCUGGCAUGUCUCGUAGUCUGUGUGACAUCCCUCGUGUCAUGUCAGGUUAAGUGUUUUCAGGAUUGUUGUGCAGUUCAUGUUUAAGUUAUUCAUGUAUUGCACUGUGCACAAGGUUCUAGUUUAGUUUCCCCACUGCCCUUUCUGCUUUAUGUUGCCCUGUAUCAGCCAUAAUAUAGGCUCACCUUUUGUUAUAGAUAUUUCUGUCUCUGUGCCUGUGUCCAUACCUGGGUCCAACACACACACACCUCUGCACAGUCUGCCUCAGCCGAUCGUGACACAGUUAUCAGCCCCAUAACUGUGGCUCAGAUUGGCCCUCCUGCACCUGCUAGCAGGCUCAGUAGGUGAGCAGAUCCAGUGUAUGUCAUCAGUGAGCUGGUGAAAAGAUGCCAGGACAAGAACAUCAGCCUGAACUUCAUAUACAACACUGUGUGUGCUGUCCUCACAUAUACAUAAGUGCAGCUCCUUCAGAGAUGGGACAAAGAGGAGGUCACCAGCCUGCUGAGGCCAAGUUCGAUUUGAUUUUCCAGUCAACGCUGAGAGACUUUGACCAGGAAGUCAGAGGUCAGCUCAUGCUGCGAGCAGGAAAUGAAUCAAGGAAGAAGGAUCGCUCUACUCAAUCUCAAAGAAAAUCUCCUGGUACUUGUUUUAUAGCUGUUAUUUAUAUUCAUUAUGUCCAUUAUAAUGAUGAUGAGCCUUUUGAUAUUAACAAGCACGUUUUCAUUGUCACAGAGAGGGAAAUGUUGUAUUUUCUGCGUCUCUUCCUCACAGUAAAGACAUUUGUAUCGCACUCCUGCAAAGAAGAUUCUGUAGGUAAACUGUUGCUGGGACAAUAAACAAAUUUCACUUUGCAAAAUGUUGUGCAGGGAGGUUGUGGUUGCUUCUUAGACUACCAUGACCUGGAUGACUGAGAACCUACACAGACACAUUCUGAAGGAAGGACUCCACACUUAUUGUACUGAUUUAACUGUGUUCAUUGUCAUCUAGCAAGUUUUGCUUUAAUGUGUCUCUAUCGACAACACAAAGCAUUUUUUUCACUAUUUAUAAAACGUAGAAGUCUUAAAAUAUAUCUGCAGUGCUUGGUGUAAAUUCAGUGAUUCAAGCUGCAGUUGGUUGGAGUCCAACAGUCUGCAGUGGCCUCCACAGUCCACCGUCUUCACAUCACAAGGACAGUUUCAACAUGUCUGUGACGUCUCCUUGCACUUGUACUCAUGCCUUGAUCAACAAGUAGGUAGAGUUCAAAUGUGGGUUUUCUGUGAGUUUAUAAGUACAAUUUACUGUUACUGCUGCUGUUUGUGUUUUGUCAGGUUUUUGUCAUGAAUAUUUCUCAGACAGAAGAAGGUGAUAUUCCAACGGACCUGAAAAGGAGAGCCGUUGAUGCCUUACAUUUGAAGAGCAGAGCAGCUGAAGAAAAGCUGUGACUCCAACGUGAGAUGGACCCUGUGAUUCAUCACCAGCAACACACUGACCUGCAUUCAUCCAUAGAUGACACUCAGUUCCACAGCUGUUCCUGUUCACAGCUGCAUCCAGUUAGAGAGGAAACUGUAUAAUGCAAUGAUGAUGUUCCAGUGUCCUGCAGAUGGCGAUCUUGCAACGCGUUCAAAGAGCCGACACUUUGAUGAUGCUGCUCUGCUCAACUUACUUUAGCCUGGGUUGGACUCUAUAUGAGCAGCUUCACUCUGGUUUCACUGUUAAACACACUUGUUUGAUUUCACUUGGAAAAGCUGAAAAAUAAAUAUGUUAUUGCAAAA